rnacentral:snoRNA from 1 species
GACAGGUGCAAAAAAAUUCCUCAUUUGCAACCUAGAACUCAUUGUUCACUAUGAGUUUUGAUACAUAUAAGAAGGAGUAUU